UGCAGUCGAGCGGCAGCGACAACAUUGAACCUUCGGGUGAUUUGUUGGGCGGCGAGCGGCGGACGGGUGAGUAAUGCCUGGGAAUAUGCCUUAGUGUGGGGGAUAACUAUUGGAAACGAUAGCUAAUACCGCAUAACGUCUUCGGACCAAAGAGGGGGACCUUCGGGCCUCUCGCGCUAAGAUUAGCCCAGGUGGGAUUAGCUAGUUGGUGAGGUAACGGCUCACCAAGGCGACGAUCCCUAGCUGGUUUGAGAGGAUGAUCAGCCACACUGGAACUGAGACACGGUCCAGACUCCUACGGGAGGCAGCAGUGGGGAAUAUUGCACAAUGGGGGAAACCCUGAUGCAGCCAUGCCGCGUGUAUGAAGAAGGCCUUCGGGUUGUAAAGUACUUUCAGUCGUGAGGAAGGGGUAAUCAUUAAUAGUGGUUGUCUUUGACGUUAGCGACAGAAGAAGCACCGGCUAACUCCGUGCCAGCAGCCGCGGUAAUACGGAGGGUGCGAGCGUUAAUCGGAAUUACUGGGCGUAAAGCGCAUGCAGGCGGUCUGUUAAGCAAGAUGUGAAAGCCCGGGGCUCAACCUCGGAACCGCAUUUUGAACUGGCAGACUAGAGUCUUGUAGAGGGGGGUAGAAUUUCAGGUGUAGCGGUGAAAUGCGUAGAGAUGCAGUCGAGUGCAGUCGAGGAAGGCGGC
rnacentral:rRNA from 1 species